AGAAGGAAGGCGGUGUUCAUGUCUCAUCCAGUUCAAAUGAAGUGGCAGGAACCAUUCCAGAUACGAAUGGAGGCGAUCAUCAUAUACCUGGAAGCUCUUUUCAUGUUUAGUGAAGGUCUAUGACAUGUCUGAUAGUCAAAUGAAGCUAAAUGAUUUUAUUUCAAGCCCUGUUGUUGAGAGGAUGGUCAAGAUGAAUUUGAGAAGGGUGACUUUAUAGUGGACGACGAGGAAGAAGUGGAAGGAGAGGAAGAGGAACAAAAGAGUGACGAUGAGAAGUGAAGAAAGAAAACUAAAAAGAAAAGGAAGAG